UACGAAGGGGGCUAGCGUUGCUCGGAAUCACUGGGCGUAAAGCGCACGUAGGCGGCUUUCUAAGUCAGGGGUGAAAUCCUGGAGCUCAACUCCAGAACUGCCUUUGAUACUGGAGAGCUUGAGUCCGGAAGAGGUGAGUGGAACUCCGAGUGUAGAGGUGAAAUUCGUAGAUAUUCGGAAGAACACCAGUGGCCAAGGCGGCUCACUGGUCCGGUACUGACGCUGAGGUGCGAAAGCGUGGGGAGCAAACAGG
rnacentral:rRNA from 1 species